GACGAACGCUGGCGGCGUGCCUAACACAUGCAAGUCGAGCGAUGAAGUUUCCUUCGGGAAAUGGAUUAGCGGCGGACGGGUGAGUAACACGUGGGUAACCUGCCUCAUAGAGGGGAAUAGCCUCCCGAAAGGGAGAUUAAUACCGCAUAAUAUUACAGUUUCGCAUGAAACAGUAAUUAAAGGAGCAAUCCGCUAUGAGAUGGACCCGCGGCGAAUUAGCUAGUUGGUGAGGUAACGGCUCACCAAGGCGACGAUGCGUAGCCGACCAGGGAGGGUGAUCGGCCACAUUGGGACUGAGACACGGCCCAGACUCCUACGGGAGGCAGCAGUGGGGAAUAUUGCACAAUGGGGGAAACCCUGAUGCAGCAACGCCGCGUGAGUGAUGACGGUCUUCGGAUUGUAAAGCUCUGUCUUUGGGGACGAUAAUGACGGUACCCAAGGAGGAAGCCACGGCUAACUACGUGCCAGCCGCCGCAGUAAAAC
rnacentral:rRNA from 1 species